rnacentral:rRNA from 1 species
AUUGAACGCUGGCGGCAUGCCUUACACAUGCAAGUCGAACGGCAGCGGGGACUUCGGUCCGCCGGCGAGUGGCGAACGGGUGAGUAAUGUAUCGGAACGUACCAUUCAGUGGGGGAUAACUAUCCGAAAGGAUAGCUAAUACCGCAUAUUCUGUGAGCAGGAAGCAGGGGAUCGCAAGACCUUGCGCUGACUGAGCGGCCGAUAUCAGAUUAGCUAGUUGGUGAGGUAAAGGCUCACCAAGGCGACGAUCUGUAGCGGGUCUGAGAGGAUGAUCCGCCACACUGGAACUGAGACACGGUCCAGACUCCUACGGGAGGCAGCAGUGGGGAAUUUUGGACAAUGGGGGCAACCCUGAUCCAGCCAUGCCGCGUGAGUGAAGAAGGCCUUCGGGUUGUAAAGCUCUUUCGGCCGGGAAAAAAUCGCAUGGGUUAAUACCCUGUGUGGAUGAUGGUACCGGAAUAAGAAGCACCGGCUAACUACGUGCCAGCAGCCGCCGUAA